CCGCCCCCCACUGUGCUGGAUGCUUGCCUAGCUGCUCACUCGUUUCUUUUCAUCUGACACCUGCUUAAGGAGCUCCUUCCAAACACUCUGCUCUGAAUGAAAGAGGGACAUGGCAAAGAGGAAAAGGACGCCAAGGAGGAUUUUUCUUGAGAGGCAGCGUAGUAGGACUCUCUGGAGGAACAGAACCAGUAGGAUCCAUGCAUCCAUCCGUCAGUGUCUAUGUUGUUGCUGUUCUUCAGUUGCUAAGUCAUGUCCAACUCCUUGCGACCCCAUGGACUGCAGCACGCUAGGCCUCCCUGUCCAUCAUCAGCUCCUGGAGCUUACUCAAACUCAUGUCCAUUGAGUGGGUGAUGCCAUCCAACCAUCUCAUCCUCUGUUGUCCCCUUCUCCUCCUGCCCCCAAUCUUUCCCAGCACCAGGGUCUUUUCCAAUGAGCUGGCUCUUCGCAUCAGGUGGCCAAAGUAUUAGAGUUUCAGCUUCAACGUCUGGAUCUAUGUCUAUAUCUUCAUACAAUCUACACCUGUAUCUAUUUUCUCUAUACCUCUUUCUCUCUCUACCUCCCUCCCUCCUUCCCUCUUUCUUUUCUUUCUUCCUUCCUUUCUUUCUCUUUCCUCCCUUCUUUUGUUCUAUCAUCUGUAGAGUGAUUUAUUAUGAAGAAAAUAGCUCAUCUGGUGAUGGAGACGGAGAAGUGCUGUAAACUCAAAGGCCUGAGGACGGGAGAUGUAAGCGCUGCAAGUCCCAUGCCAAGUCCCAGGACAGGAGACGAUGCCGGUCCCAGCUCAACAGUCAGGCAGAGAGAGAGAGAACACCCCUUCCUCCUCUUCCCACCCCGUUUUUUGUCUUCAGGCCUCCAAAGGUUUGCAUGAGGCCCACCCACGCUGGGAGGACUACCUUCUCCACUCAGUUUAUGGAUUCAGAUGCCAGCCUCUUCUGGAGACACCUUCACAGAAACACUGAGCACAACAUUUAACCAGAUACCGGGGCGACUUGUGACCCAGUCAAGUUGACAGAUCAGAUGAACCAUCGUAGCCAGUAUUCAGCAUAAUAGCCAAGAAUUUAGACCCUGGACUCAAACAGACACAGGUUUGACUUUUUCUGCUAUUUACAUGCUGUGUGGUCUCCUCUUAGCUCCCCUGACCUCUCUGUGCCAUAGUUUCCUCAUCUGUAAGAUGGAAAUGAAAGGAGACCUAGCUGUGAGGCUGACAGGUGAUUGUGAGCGAAAGCUACUUAAGACUGGAGUUUCAGAAUGCUUAACCUGGAUGGUAACUCAGAGUCAGUCUGCUCCUUUCUUAUGUAAAUAUUGCACGGAUCAACAAGACUGGAACUCAGAAAGUCUCAGCUUGCCUGCCUCCAGGGAGAGGGCAGGGGAG
ensembl:lncRNA